CCUAAAGAUCAUUGGCUUUAAUAUAUAGAGCAUUUACCGAAAAAUUCAAUAUUUUCGUAGGGGUUAACUAAUAGAUUUUGAGAAAAAUUCAAAAAAAUGAAAAUUCUAUUUUAAUGCAUAGUUGCAUCCUUCAAUAACAUAUGAUGAAGGCCAAAGAGGAUUAGAACCUUUGUUGUCUCCGUUUUUCUAGAGAAUAGCGAUUUUAUAGUGGUUAUUCAACCAAUUU
rnacentral:lncRNA from 1 species